rnacentral:rRNA from 1 species
GACGUAGGGUGCAAGCGUUGUCCGGAUUUAUUGGGCGUAAAGAGCUCGUAGGCGGUUUGUCGCGUCUGCCGUGAAAGUCCGGGGCUCAACUCCGGAUCUGCGGUGGGUACGGGCAGACUAGAGUGAUGUAGGGGAGACUGGAAUUCCUGGUGUAGCGGUGAAAUGCGCAGAUAUCAGGAGGAACACCGAUGGCGAAGGCAGGUCUCUGGGCAUUAACUGACGCUGAGGAGCGAAAGCAUGGGGAGCGAACAGG